rnacentral:lncRNA from 1 species
UUAGAGCUGCUCUAAUGAACCAGCUCCUCUCCUCGCACACAGCUCUGCUCCCUAAAUCCAGAAUAUAUCAACUCUUCCCACACAAAGAUCCAAUAAAUGCAGCAGCAGGGAGAAAAUGCAGUUUACCCCAGGGAAAUGGUGUCAGGUGCUUUGGGCUGUCCCUGAAACUCCUCACGGAUGGGUAAGGGAGGUUUUUUAUCCUAAAUCCAUGAGAAGAAGGUGGUGGCAGCAGCACAGAUGGGAGAAUUCCUGGUUCUUUGGGGGAUUGGAGAGGAGAUGCCAGGUUAACUCCAGCUCUUUUCCAUGCAGUCAUCAGUUUGCAGCACCAGCUGCUGCUCAGCUCCUGGCCCCAGUGGGUGACAUCAAAAUAAUCCCCACAGGCUCCUUUGGGGACACACAGAGCUGCCACAGCGGUGUCACCAAGCCUGAGGAACAGCAGUGCCUGGGAAAUCAGCCCUGGGAUCAUCCAGGCCCUGCCAUGGACACGGUUUGGGCAGCGGGGGUGAGCUGGGGUUUGGGAGCUGAUGGAUUUAUCCAUUCCUUUAAAGGAUCAACGGGGCUUGGGGUGGCCCCUCUGCAUUCAGCAGCACAGCUGGCACCUGCUCCGGGCUGCAAUGGGCCAGCUGCUCCUGCAUGGAGACUGGGACAGCACCGGGAUAACACCGGGAUAAAACUGGGAUAAUCACCUGGCCAUUCCUGCAUGGAGACUGGGAUAGCACCGGGAUAACACCGGGAUAACACUGGGAUAACCACCUGGCAAUUCCUGCAUGGAGACUGGGAUAUCACUGGGAUAACACCGGGAUAACACUGGGAUAGCACCGGGAUAACACAGGAAUAGCACCGGGAUAGCACCAGGAUAGCACGGGGACAACAACUGGGUACUGACCUGGCUGUUCCUGCACAGAGACCGGGAUAACACCGGGAUAACACCAGGAUAGCAUUGAGAUAACACUGGGAUAGCACUGGGAUAACACUGGGAUAACAACCAGACACUGGCCUGGCUGCUCCUGCAUGGAGACCAGGAUAACACCGGGAUAACACCAGGAUAACAACCGGACACUGAUCUGGCCACUCCUGCA